GACUCUCGACGAUGAAUAUCUCACCUCUCAUAUUAAUGAAGAACGUAGCAAAAUGCUAUACUUUGUGUGAAUUGCAGAAUUUUGUAAACCUUCUAGCAGGGACGGAGCCAACAUACUGUUAGGGGGUUC
rnacentral:rRNA from 1 species